rnacentral:rRNA from 1 species
GACGAACGCUGGCGGCGUGCUUAACACAUGCAAGUCGAACGGGAGUAUUGAAGAAGCUUGCUUUAGAGAUACUUUAGUGGCGGACGGGUGAGUAACGCGUGAGGAGCUGUCCAAUGCAGGGGGACAACAGUUGGAAACGACUGCUAAUACCCCAUAAGCCGAGAGGUAAAAGGAUUUAUCCGGCAAUGGAGGGACUCGCGUCCUAUCAGCUAGUUGGUGGGGUAAGGGCCUACCAAGGCGAUGACGGGUAGCCGGCCUGAGAGGGCGCACGGCCACACUGGGACUGAGAUACGGCCCAGACUCCUACGGGAGGCAGCAGUGGGGAGUAUUGGGCAAUGGGGGCAACCCUGACCCAGCGACGCCGCGUGAGUGAAGAAGUCUUUCGGGACGUAAAGCUCUUUUGUACGGGAAGAAGACGAUGACGGUACCGUACGAAUAAGCCCCGGCAAACUACGUGCCAGCCGCCGCGGUAA